rnacentral:rRNA from 1 species
UACGGAGGGUGCAAGCGUUAUCCGGAUUUACUGGGUUUAAAGGGUGCGUAGGUGGGUUGGGUAGUCAGUGGUGAAAUACUUUCGCUUAACGAAGGAACUGCCAUUGGUACUCCCAAUCUUGAAUACAGUGGAGGUGGGCGGAAUGCGUCAUGUAGUGGUGAAAUACUUAGAUAUGACGCAGAACACCUAUUGCGAAGGCAGCUCGCUACACUGUCAUUGACACUGAGGCACGAAAGCGUGGGGAUCAAACAGG